UGGGGAAUAUUGCACAAUGGGCGCAAGCCUGAUGCAGCCAUGCCGCGUGUAUGAAGAAGGCCUUCGGGUUGUAAAGUACUUUCAGCGGGGAGGAAGGGAGUAAAGUUAAUACCUUUGCUCAUUGACGUUACCCGCAGAAGAAGCACCGGCUAACUCCGUGCCAGCAGUCGCGGUAAUACGGAGGGUGCAAGCGUUAAUCGGAAUUACUGGGCGUAAAGCGCACGCAGGCGGUUUGUUAAGUCAGAUGUGAAAUCCCCGGGCUCAACCUGGGAACUGCAUCUGAUACUGGCAAGCUUGAGUCUCGUAGAGGGGGGUAGAAUUCCAGGUGUAGCGGUGAAAUGCGUAGAGAUCUGGAGGAAUACCGGUGGCGAAGGCGGCCCCCUGGACGAAGACUGACGCUCAGGUGCGAAAGCGUGGGGAGCAAACAGG
rnacentral:rRNA from 1 species